rnacentral:rRNA from 1 species
UACGUAGGGGGCAAGCGUUGUCCGGAUUUAUUGGGCGUAAAGAGCGUGUAGGCGGUUUGGUAGGUCCGCUGUGAAAACUCGAGGCUCAACCUCGAGACGCCGGUGGAAACCAUCAGGCUAGAGUCCGGAAGAGGAGAGUGGAAUUCCUGGUGUAGCGGUGAAAUGCGCAGAUAUCAGGAAGAACACCCGUGGCUAAGGCGGCUCUCUAGUACGGUACUGGACGC